rnacentral:rRNA from 1 species
ACUCCUACGGGAGGCAGCAGUAGGGAAUAUUGGGCAAUGGACGCAAGUCUGACCCAGCCAUGCCGCGUGCAGGAUGAAGGCGUUAUGCGUUGUAAACUGCUUUUAUACAGGAAGAAACGACUCUUGCGAGAGGCAUUGACGGUACUGUAUGAAUAAGCACCGGCUAACUCCGUGCCAGCAGCCGCGGUAAUACGGAGGGUGCAAGCGUUGUCCGGAUUUAUUGGGUUUAAAGGGUGCGCAGGUGGUUUAUUAAGUCAGUGGUGAAAGACGGUCGCUCAACGAUUGCAGUGCCAUUGAAACUGGUAGACUUGAGUAAAGUAGAGGUGGCGGAAUUGAUAGUGUAGCGGUGAAAUGCAUAGAUAUUAUCAAGAACUCCAAUUGCGUAGGCAGCUCACUUGGCUUUUACUGACACUCAUGCACGAAAGUGUGGGUAUCAAACAGGAUUAGAUACCCCUGGUAGGAUAGCG